rnacentral:misc_RNA from 1 species
UUAUUGCAGCCCGACUUGAAUGAAGCUCUUUGUGUGACGAGGAACGAGGAGCAAAAAAGCGGGAAUGGAAGGCGGAAAAAGCU